ensembl:lncRNA
GGCGCCGAGGGUGGACGUAGAAGUCGAUGGCCGCCCGUUCGCAGCUCUUCUGGAUACCGGCAGCGCGGUCAGUUUGAUCCAGUCUCAUAUCCUCUCGCCCCGCAGACUAACCAAGGCUACCAUCCCGGUCACCUGCGUGCAUGGAGACACGCGACAUGUUCCAACCAGGAGAGUGACCAUCUCCGCUGGCCCUGACUCAUGGCCGAUGGACGUGGGCCUAGUGAAGGAUCUGCCGGUACCAGUCCUUAUCGGUAGAGACUGGCCGGGCUUGGAUCGCCUGCUGGCCGCGAACGUGCCAUUUGCCAGUCCUCGACGGGCCCACCUCCAAAGGCGGCCAGGAAAAAGAACCCGUCAUCGUCCCGUCUUGCUGGCCUCCGACAGCGGGAGAGAUGGUGGGAAGAGGAGUCAUCAGACCCCAGGAAAAGAAGGUUGAGGCAGUCCGCGCCGCCCCAAGACCCAGUACAAAGUCCCAGCCUCCCCUCUGACAGACCUAACCAGGAAGGGUCAGCCAGAGAAAAUCAACUGGACGCCCGAAGCUGAGGAGGCAUUGAGAAAAAUAAAGAUGGC